GCGAACGGGUGAGUAACACGUGGGGCAAUCUGCCCUUCACUCUGGGAAAGCCCUGGGGGACGGGGUCUAAUACCGGAUAACACUCCCACCCGCAUGGGKGGGGGUUAAAAGCUCCGGCGGUGAAGGAUGAGCCCGCGGCCUAUCAGCUUGUUGGUGAGGUAACGGCUCACCAAGGCGACGACGGGUAGCCGGCCUGAGAGGGCGACCGGCCACACUGGGACUGAGACACGGCCCAGACUCCUACGGGAGGCAGCAGUGGGGAAUAUUGCACAAUGGGCGAAAGCCUGAUGCAGCGACGCCGCGUGAGGGAUGACGGCCUUCGGGUUGUAAACCUCUUUCAGCAGGGAAGAAGCGAAAGUGACGGUACCUGCAGAAGAAGCGCCGGCUAACUACGUGCCAACAGCCGCGGUAAUAUGUAGGGCGCAAGCGUUGUCCGGAAUUAUUGGGCGUAAAGAGCUCGUAGGCGGCUUGUCRCGUCGGGUGUGAAAGCC
rnacentral:rRNA from 1 species